rnacentral:misc_RNA from 1 species
GUUGUAUGAGGCUUCAUGUGUAGUACUAAAAAUUGUAAUAAAGAUACAGCUGUAUUUGGUUUUUAUUGGUGUGCAUUAGCUCUAGUUUACUGUUGGCUGCGGUGGUUAGAGGUAGCAGGCUGUCUUGUUACUUUCAAAAUAAUGGCACAGGGUUUACUGUUGGUGGACCCACAGUCAUCAGGAGCAGUUCACACUGUGGGGGAUCUAAAAGCUUCCCCAAAAAAGGCACACUGCUUCAUGAUGCCUCUUACAAUCAUGUCUACAACUCUCAUAUGUGGCAUGUUGUUAUUGGUGUGUGCAGUGACUUAUGUGGGUCCAUUCUCUACCAUUAAGAAGGUGGCAGAACUACAAAAUGGGGAUAAAGUUACACAAAGAUCCUAUGCAAUAGUUUUUGAUGGAGGUAGUACAGGAACACGAAUUCAUGUGUUCACCUUUUUGAACAGCACAGAAACAGGCCUAACCCUUCUGGAUGAAUACUUUCAAGAGGUUAAACCUGGACUAUCAAGCUAUGCUGAAUCUCCAUCAGAGGCUGCCAGCAGUAUUGUAUCCCUUUUAGAAAAGGCUAAAACAGUGAUUCCAUCUGAAUGUUGGAGUGGCACCCCCUUGUCUUUGAAGGCCACAGCAGGACUUAGAUUUCUACCAAGCCAUACAGCUGAUGCCAUUCUAGAUGAGGUUGACAAAAAAAUCAAAAGCUACCCAUUUCUUGUUUCCAACGAUUCUGUUUCAAUCAUGGAUGGAGAUGAUGAAGGAAUUUUUGCAUGGUAUACAGUUAAUUUUCUUUUAGGCCAUUUAAGCAAUGCUUCACACACUGUUGUCACACUGGAUCUUGGGGGUGGUUCUACUCAAAUCACAUUUCAGCCAACCAAUCUGGAUAUGCUAGUAUCCAUUCCCAAGGAAUACUUAGUGAAGUUAAAAAUUCAAGAAAAACCUGCUUUCCUUUAUACCCACAGUUACUUGGGUAAUGGACUGAUGUCUGCUCGUCUCUCCAUACUUCAGUCAUCAAGUUCUGGUGAAAAAUCUGCUCAUGACAAAACCGAAAUUUUGCGUAGUCCUUGCAUUCAUCCUCUCAUUAUGAAAUCGUGGCAACAUGGUGGAAUGGAGUAUCUUGUAAUGGGACUAGAGUCUGGAAACUAUGGGUUUGAUGCUUGUUUUGACAGAGCAAAGACGUUUGUUGGGAAUAACAUACAUGUAGCAGAAGAACUGAAGCAGCGACCAGUGUAUGCUAUGUCCUACUAUUAUGACAGAGCUGUUGACUCAGAAUUAAUAGAUAAAGAUGAUGGUGGUGUGGUGCUAGUUGAAGACUUUUUAAAAGCUGCAAAAAAGCCUGUUCUAGUGAUGGUAAUGUCAACAUGCCCUUUCUGUGUCUGGACCUGACCUAUAUUGCCUCAUUACUCUACAAUGGUUUUGAUCUUAAUUUAAGCAAAGAAAUAACUCUUGUUAAAAAGAUCAAGACCUUUGAGACAAGCUGGGGUCUGGGAGCAGCCUUCAAUCUUCUAGCCCGUGUUUGAUGAACUUAUUACGAACUUUACCAGUAUCAAAACAUUACUAUAGGUUUGUUGUUCUAUUUCAAAAUUAUUAUGAGAUUUCCUGAAAAAUUGUAUUUUGCAUAUGAUAUAAUUUUGUAACAAACUGAGAAAUUAUGUAAAAAAGUUUUUUGUUGUUGUUGCAAAAGUAUAGUGGAAAUGUGUCAAAAUUAUGUGAGGAGGAGGUAUUUUUGUGAAAUUUCAAACCAAAGACAUGUUUAAGUAUUUACUGAAUAACCAAAAGGAAAUUUUAUGAAAACUAUAUAUAUAUAUUAAAAUCAAAUCUUAUAUAUAUAUAUAUUUACUUACUGUAACCUUUUUUUUUUUUUUAUCUUAAUUUUCUGAGCAUGCUAUUAGAAUUUGCACCCUAGUCAAUCCUUGUUGAAAAAAGUUUUAGUUUAGUUGUUGAGAAAAAUAUCUUUAUUGUUAAAAGGUUUCAGUUAAUUUUCUAUGGUUGAGGUAUGUUACUUGUAGCAAAAUUUCAAAUAAGGCAAUAAACUGAAAAAGUACAAUUAUUUGCCCUAUACUUUUGUAAUGUAUCCCUCAUAAUUUUACUUGUUACGUAUGUUGCUUAAGUAAAAUUAAAAGAAACAUUUUUAUCU